rnacentral:ncRNA from 1 species
GUAAAGGCGAUGAAAAGGAAAGUACAGCGUGACCGAAAGCACAGAGAGCCCCGGUGUGGUGUGACGGGGACUGGAAGCGCGUCUGGAAAAUGGCCUUGGAGCCGCGUACCGACCUGCGUGGGAUGAUCACGCAAUAGGAUGCGAUGGGUGCGCCCAUUACAGCGCCUGGAUAUCGAGCGGCAGUCUGUCCGUUCCGUACCCGCAGAGGUUCGCAUCGUGAGGUGCGGAUAAAGUGAAGGUGGUAACACGAAGCGAUUUCGCUCUCGUCCUUGCA